AGCGAACGCUGGCGGCAGGCCUGACACAUGCAAGUCGAACGGAUCCUUCGGGAUUAGUGGCGGACGGGUGAGUAACACGUGGGAACGUGCCCUUUGGUUCGGAACAACUCAGGGAAACUUGAGCUAAUACCGGAUGUGCCCUUCGGGGGAAAGAUUUAUCGCCAUUGGAGCGGCCCGCGUCUGAUUAGCUAGUUGGUGAGGUAAAGGCUCACCAAGGCUACGAUCAGUAGCUGGUCUGAGAGGAUGAUCAGCCACAUUGGGACUGAGACACGGCCCAAACUCCUACGGGAGGCAGCAGUGGGGAAUCUUGCGCAAUGGGCGAAAGCCUGACGCAGCCAUGCCGCGUGAAUGAUGAAGGUCUCAGGAUUGUAAAAUUCUUUCACCGGGGACGAUAAUGACGGUACCCGGAGAAGAAGCCCCGGCUAACUUCGUGCCAGCCGCCGCGGUAAGAC
rnacentral:rRNA from 1 species